UCUGUAGUAAGCACUCUUUUGUUUUGCGCUUCUCUGAUCUUGGUUCUUGAUGCCUAUCUUUGCACUCAUCUGCCAUUUACUUUCUUGUGGCGACGGCGUCUCUGGCCCCCACUGUCGACCCUCCCGCCAACCAACCAUAUCUUCCGUCGUCUCCUCUCCUCACGGGAGAACGAGAGUGAGAGAGAGAGGGAGAGGGAGAUCAGUCUGUAUGUGCGCAUCAGACACCUCGCUUGGUCUUGGGUGCCAUUAGCUGCUGUUAUACCACGCUUCUGCUUCUACCAUGAGCGCGUGCUCUUGGUACCUCGCUUCAACACACCCUGCAAGUCUCUCAAAAUCAAUAAGAGCAGGACAUCCCCUCAAUUCCCUCUCGCCCUCCGUUCAGUGGCAUGCACCUCUGAACGCUCCCACCUUCCCCAUAUUGAGGUCUUCUUCCACCAGAGUGCAUGCUAAGGCUGAAGCCGAGGGCACCACCUUCCAACGCCCCUCUGGUUCCGAUCCUAAAGCUGGAGUUGCAGUGUACAAGCCGAAGACCUACGAGGUUCUCGUGAACGACGCUGCGAAUUCCCUGGCUUAUGCCUUGGAUGAUGGCAAGGUUCGCCUGGAGAUCGAUUUUCCACCAUUGCCCAGCAGCUUCUCUUCAUAUAAGGGAUCCUCGGACGAGUUUAUUGAUGCUAACAUACAACUUGCACUUGCCGUUGUUAAGAAGCUGAAUGAAGCAAAGGGUAUCAAAGCAUGCAUCGUUUUCCCUGAUAGACCAGAAAAAAGAAGGGCCUCCAAGCUGUUUAAUACAGCGUUUAAAACGGUUAAUGGUUUACGUAUUGGUUGCUUGGAUGAUGUACCUGCUGGGCUUGUUUCUACUUUUUUCAAGUCUGUACGAAAUACACUGGAUUUUGAUUUUGAUGAUAAUGAGCAAGAGGAACAGGAUUCUGGUGAACCACCAUCGUUGUUUGUAUUUAUCAAUUGCAGCACUCGUGAUCUUCCCGUUAUAGAGAGUUAUGUGGAAAACUUUGCUGUGUCCACACCAGUUCUUCUUUUUAACUUGGAAUUGGAGACUUUGCGUGCCGACUUAGGUCUCUUUGGAUUUCCUCCUAAGGAUCUUCAUUAUCGGUUUCUCUCGCAGUUCAUCCCUGUGUUCUAUAUUCGAAUCAGAGACUACUCCAAGACCGUGGCAGUUGCACCUUAUAUUGUGAACUACAGUGGAGCCUUGUUCCGCCAAUAUCCUGGCCCUUGGCAGGUGAUGCUCAAACAGGCUGAUGGCUCCUAUGUUUGUGUUGCUGAAAGUUCUAGCCGUUUCACACUGGGCGAAGCAAAGGAAGAGCUCUUGAGGGUUCUUGGACUGCAAGAGGAAGAGGGGAGCUCAUUGGAGUUUCUCAGAAGGGGUUACAGGGUCUGUUAGUUCUUUGUUUGUCCUAGUGGAUCUUUCUUUUACUUUAUUGUUCCUUAUUUUUUUAAAUCAUAAAUCGUUCGACUAGAAGAAAAAGGGAAAAAGGAUAAAUGGUGAUAGUGGUAAAAAUGUGAGAAAGAAGAACUGAAGAAGCAGUCAGGCAGUGGUAACAGUCUCACUGAAGUAGCUGGUUAUUGUUAUAGUGUUGAUGGUGAUGGUGGUCAAAAGGGUUGUGAUUAAGUGGAGAACCGUGUAUGGUGAUACUUGAUGGCCACUAAGAACUGGUUGGAUGGCAUUGGUAGCAAAUAAGUUAUGGUUUUAGUGGUGGUGAUGAUGUUUGCAGAAGUGGUGACCGUUUUUGGUGGAAUCAGUGAUGGUGGCAGUGGUGGUGUUGAUGGUGAUCCUAGAGAUGCAGUAGUAAUGUCAGGGACCAGCAGCCGAAAAGGGGGUGGUGGUGAUUAUGGUCAAUAAGUGGUGAUGUGGUUAUUACAAAAAUAAUAAGCGGCAAUGGCAGUGAAGAAAAUGAUGGUGGUAAAAUUAAAGAAAUGGUAGUGACAUCAACAUGGUGGGAAGAAGAUAAUGACAUUGAGGUAUCUUCUGCAUGGCGGAGUUGACAAGACAAUCUUGCCUUCUAUGUAACUGGUAUGACUAACUGUGAAUAGCACGAAGUGGCCAGCAACACCAUCACGGAUUUUCUAAUCCAACUAAAUGACAGAUGAAAGCAGUAGAAGCCUGGGAAGAGAAAUAUGAAUCUUGACAUCAAGAAGCAUAAGUGUGGGAUUCGUGAUGCUUUCUGCCAUUGCAGUUGCAACCUCUCAUGUGGCACACAUUCUAAGCGAUAUGGUUAGGUCAAAGGUGACCCUCGGAGAUUCCAUGUAUUUGUUCCAUGCUACUACUGCUGCCUUUCUCAUGAUGCUCAUUCUUGCGUCUACCCAUUCUUCCAUUUUUGCAUGGCACAAGUUUUGCAUGGUAUGCGGAAGGCCUGCUAUCCUCGUGUCGGGCGGCAGAAUCGUGAAUGUUUCACCUGCUUGUUUUUAUGUCUCAAGAUCCAUCUGGGCCUAUUAGCUUUAGUAUCGGUGAUAAUUUGAGUCAUGAUAAAUUGAUAAUUAAACCUGGACAAGGUCUCUCUCUCUCUCUCUCGGUGUGUGUGUGUGGACGCGUGCUGGAUUUGCUAGUCUGUAAUCUAGUAAGACUGUCACAGGUGCAAUGUUGCAACAGACUUGACCCAACAUUUUAGGUGUAUUCAUCCCAGCUCAUUUAUUAAUCAUGCUUUUGGGUCA